AUAUAUGUAUCUCGAUCGGAGAGGCGCGUAGGGUAUCUCUUGAGGCAUCAGGAUAGUCAGUAAAUAGCUCAUUUCAUCGAGGACUACAAUUGGAUUGGCAUCCUUAAAAUAUGUGGUGAGCUCUCUAACAAGGGUAAAGAGAUUAUGCCUGAAG